rnacentral:rRNA from 1 species
ACCUUAAGCAUAUCAAUAAGCGGAGGAAAAGAAACCAACAGGGAUUGCCUCAGUAACGGCGAGUGAAGCGGCAACAGCUCAAAUUUGAAAUCUGGUCCCCUCUGGGGGCCCGAGUUGUAAUUUGAAGAGGAUGCUUUUGGCGAGGCGCCUUCCGAGUGCCCUGGAACGGGACGCCACAGAGGGUGAGAGCCCCGUAUGGUAGGACGCCGAGCCUCUGUAAAGCUCCUUCGACGAGUCGAGUAGUUUGGGAAUGCUGCUCAAAAUGGGAGGUAAACCCCUUCUAAAGCUAAAUAUUGGCCAGAGACCGAUAGCGCACAAGUAGAGUGAUCGAAAGAUGAAAAGCACUUUGAAAAGAGAGUUAAACAGCACGUGAAAUUGUUGAAAGGGAAGCGCUUGCGACCAGACUUGCGCCCGUCGGAUCAACCGUCCCUCGUGGGCGGCGCACUCCGGCGGGCUCAGGCCAGCAUCAGUUUUCCCGGGGGGAGAAAGGCGGUGGGAACGUAGCUCUUCGGAGUGUUAUAGCCCGCCGCGUAAUGCCCUCGGGGGGACUGAGGACCGCGCGUAUGCAAGGAUGCUGGCGUAAUGGUCGUCAGCGACCCGUCUUGAAACACGGACCAAGGAGUCGUCCUAAUAUGCGAGUGUACGGGUGUAAAACCCCUGCGCGUAAUGAAAGUGAACGGAGGUGAGAGCUUCGGCGCAUCAUCGACCGAUCCUGAUGUUCUCGGAUGGAUUUGAGUAAGAGCAUAUUGGGCCGGACCCGAAAGAAGGUGAACUAUGCCUGUAUAGGGUGAAGCCAGAGGAAACUCUGGUGGAGGCUCGCAGCGGUUCUGACGUGCAAAUCGAUCGUCAAAUAUGGGCAUGGGGGCGAAAGACUAAUCGAACCUUCUAGUAGCUGGUUUCCGCCG